UACGAAGGGAGCUAGCGUUGUUCGGAAUCACUGGGCGUAAAGCGCACGUAGGCGGAUGUGUCAGUCAGGGGUGAAAUCCCGGAGCUCAACUUCGGAACUGCCUUUGAUACAGCACGUCUUGAGUCCGAUAGAGGUGGGUGGAAUUCCUAGUGUAGAGGUGAAAUUCGUAGAUAUUAGGAAGAACACCGGUGGCGAAGGCGGUUCUCUGGGCCUGUACUGACGCUGAGGAGCGAAAGCGUGGGGAGCGAACAGG
rnacentral:rRNA from 1 species